GCGCGUAAAUUGCCCGAAUCCUGACACAGGGAGGUAGUGACAAGAAAUAACAAUACAGGGCUAUCUUAGUCUUGUAAUUGGAAUGAGUACAAUUUACAUCUCUUCACGAGGAUCAAUUGGAGGGCAAGUCUGGUGCCAGCAGCCGCGGUAAUUCCAGCUCCAAUAGCGUAUAUUAAAGUUGUUGCAGUUAAAACGCUCGUAGUCGGAUUUCGGGGCGGGGCCGCCGGUCUGCCGAUGGGUAUGCACUGGCGGUCGCGUCCUUCCUUCCGGAGACUGGCCCUACUCUUAACUGAGCGGGGUCGGGAGUCGGAUCGUUUACUUUGAAAAAAUCAGAGUGUUUCAAGCAGGCAGCUCGCUCUUGCAUGGAUUAGCAUGGGAUAAUGAAAUAGGACUUUGGUGCUAUUUUGUUGGUCUCGAACACCGAAGUAAUGAUUAACAGGGACAGUCAGGGGCACUCGUAUUCC
rnacentral:rRNA from 1 species